rnacentral:rRNA from 1 species
UGCUUUUAUAGGGGAAUAAAGUGAGCCACGUGUGGUUUUUUGCAUGUACCCUAUGAAUAAGGACCGGCUAAUUCCGUGCCAGCAGCCGCGGUAAUACGGAAGGUCCGGGCGUUAUCCGGAUUUAUUGGGUUUAAAGGGAGCGUAGGCCGGAGAUUAAGCGUGUUGUGAAAUGUAGAUGCUCAACAUCUGAACUGCAGCGCGAACUGGUUUCCUUGAGUACGCAUAAAGUGGGCGGAAUUCGUGGUGUAGCGGUGAAAUGCUUAGAUAUCACGAAGAACUCCGAUUGCGAAGGCAGCUCACUGGGGCGCAACUGACGCUGAAGCUCUGAAAGCGCGGGUAUCGAACAGGAUUAGAUACCCUGGUAGUCCGCGCGGUAAACGAGGGAUGCCAGCUGUUGGGCCAACUGGUUCAGCGGCCAAGCGAAAGCAUUAAGCAUCCCACCUGGGGAGUACGCCGGCAACGGUGCAACUCAAAGGA